rnacentral:tRNA from 1 species
GGAGGGACUGUGGCUCAGUGGAAAAGCAUCUGUUUCGGAUGAAGAAGGCCCCUGGUUCAAUCCCCAGCAUCUCCA